rnacentral:rRNA from 1 species
CCCUUAGAUGUCCUGGGCCGCACGCGCGCUACAAUGAUAAAUUCAGAAUGUUUUUCCUGCCCUGGAAAGGUGUGGGUAAUCAUUAUAGUAUUUAUCGUGUUAGGGAUCGAUCUUUGCAAUUAUAGAUCUUGAACGAGGAAUGCCUAGUAAGUGCAGCUCAUCAGGCUGUACUGAUUACGUCCCUGCCCUUUGUACACACCGCCCGUCGCUCCUACCGAUUUCGAGUGUUCAGGUGAAUCUUCUGGACUGAGUCGCAAGACCCGGGAAGUUAGAUAAAUCUUNANACUUAUNGGAAGGAGAANUCGUANCA